UCCCAUCAUUCCCACAUAGCGUACGCCUAGUCUCCUUGAAAUCAGGACAUCUUGAGGUAAAAUACAAGGGGCCAUUUUGAAUUUCUAAAGUUCAGCGUCCCACAUGGAGGAUAUUAACAUUCCAUAAACUUCUUUUUCAUGAUGGACGAGAGGAGGCAGGGUGUGUGUAACAGGAUUGGCACAAUGCUUGCAUUCCUCCAGAGGAACUUUGUUAAACAACCAGGAGGGCCCUCAUAGCCAGAGGGGUUUCAGUGUAUGUGUGUGUCUGUGUGUGUGUGUGUGUGUGUGUGUGUGUGUGUGUGUGUGUGUGUGUGUGUGUGUGUGUGUGUGUGUGUGUGUGUGUGUGUGUGUGGUGGGAGAGUCAGGAUGAGAGCCAAGGCCACCCGUCCCUCCCUCCCUCCCUUCUAGCCUGUGAUCCCUCUCUACAGAGAAAUGGUCGGGACUUUGUGGAAUCCUAACAGUCACAUUGAGAGGAUGCCAGCUUUUCUCUGGCACCAACAGAUUUCUCUCUCUCUAGUGAGUCCUUUGUCCUACAGGGAAGGAUGCAGUUAUGCCAAAUGUACUCGUCAACAAGCGAGGACAGCAUGUGAGCCAUUGGAGAAUGCGGUUUUGAAUAUUUAGAAAACACAUUUAUAUAUGUUUAGAAACAGUUACAUUCCAUCUUGGGUAUUUCAUCUCCUAUAUAACUUGCAAACAAGUUAUAUACUGUAGGACUACCAAUCCACACUUCUGUUUCAUUCACCAAUCACAACAUUGACGUGCUCAAAAUACGUUCCUCAUCCAGAAAUACAGACGUUCUAAUGGGUACAAAAGGAGACUGUCAGGGAGGAAUCUGAGCAGCAAUAACUUGGCUUGAUGACACAGUACGUUUCUAAAGGGCUUUAUAGGCACUAACUCACACGACAACACUGUAGAGUUGAGUCAGUGGGCUCAGAGACACACCUAAACCACCCUGGACUAAUCACACACAUUAACUCUCCAACAGACUGUCACCAAUCGCAUUUACAGUGCAUCUUUCCAACAGGUCCGUCUGAAAAGACACACAAAGCUAGAGAAUUGCAACACUAAUAUUCCUAGACUUAGAGCAACCUGGACCCUCUGGUCAGUCACUGACCGCUCCAGAGGUGAGCCGUCCCUCUGGUCAGUCACUGACCGCUCCAGAGGUGAGCCGUCCCUCUGGUCAGUCACUGACCGCUCCAGAGGUGAGCCGUCCCUCUGGUCAGGUAUUUGGAGACUGGAUGGUCAGGAGGGCCAGAGACCUGGUCCAGGUAUUCGGAGACUGGAUGGUCAGGAGGGCCAGAGUCCUGGUCCAGGUAUUUGGAGACUGGACGGUCAGGAGGGCCAGAGUCCUGGUCCAGGUAUUUGGGGACUGGAUGGUCAGGAGGGCCAGAGUCCUGGUCCAGGUAUUUAGACACCAUCCUGGCAUUUUCCUGCCCAGAAGUCAGCAUCUAGUCUCAGUCUAGUCCAGGAGGGUUAGGGUAAGGUGUCUGGAUGGCCCAGGUAUUUAGAGACGGUCCUAGCGUUGUCCAGGUACCAGGACGGGACCCUGCCCAGCGCUCCUGGAGAACAGAAGGAGGUAUGAGAUGCAGUAUUACAAGACAACACACUGGCCAUACUAACUGAAAAGGAGACUGGUCUUCAGAAAGGCCUUGUGCUGAUACAUCAACAUUAAACGUCUAUGCUGGUUUUUAAUCACCACUCUGAACAUGUCCCAGGUAUUAUUGUUAUUAUAACUUUGAAUGACAUCACUAUUCCUCGCAACACCAGCAUUAGUCUCCUCCAGGGUUGGGGUCGAUUCGAAUGGAAGUCACUCAAUUCAGGAAGUGAUUUGAAGUAAAAAUAAAAAAAAUUAAAAUAAAAAAAACGUUUGAAAUAAAUAGCUUCUCCUUUUCAAUUUAUAGAUGCCCUUUUUUUCCAAUAUUGAAUUGGAAUUUCAGUUUGCUUCCUGAAUUGAUUGAGUAAUGGGUCGUUCAAUGUCAUCUAAAUAAGCCAUGACACCAUCUCAGAAAUUGUUUCUGCAGUUAGAGACAGAUAAGAUAAACAAUAUUUUGAUCUUUGAGAAAUGUAUCUAAUUGAUUGCACCCAAAUAGGCCAUUUUUAUUUAUAAGAUCCAUAUACAGAUAAUAUUCAAUAAUGAUAGUGCUUAACAUCUGAUUUUAACCCAUUUUUUUUUUGACAAUGAGUAAGACAUGAGGAAUCCCACGAUGUGGUCAAAAGCCAUCCACGGAC
rnacentral:lncRNA from 1 species